AAAAGAAGUCCUUACCUAAAGAGGAAGUGGCCAGUGAACCUGAAGAGGCAGCAAGCCCCAUCACCCCUAAGAAGAAAAGGAAAUUUUCUGAGGAGCCUGAGGCUGCUGCAAGCUGCACAAAGAGCAGCACAAAGAAAAAGAAAAAGUCGCAGAAGGCCCGGGAGGAGGAUUAGAAUGGACCUGCUUGGUGGGAGGGGCAUACUUUAUGGUGGCAGUUCCUCCUGCCCAUGAUAAACCCCAAUAAAAACACAAAACCAGAAAAAAAAAAAAAAAA
rnacentral:lncRNA from 1 species